UUAUGUCACUCUUAACACUGUUGAUUAUGAGCCCGUUUGAUUCAGCUAAUAAGCUGUUCUUAAUUUUUUUUUGAAUGUUUGAUUAAUCAAAUUAUAAAUUAUUUUGUGCUUAAAAUGAAUUUAAAAAAAUAAGUUGAGGUAGUCCAAUUUUUUUUCCCAGCUUAUAAGUUACUUCAGCUCUUAAGCUAAGCCAAGUUGGCCCUAUAACUCCAAAGUGAAAUUUAAAAAACUAGACAGAAUUAAUCUUUUAUUUUCUUUAUAAAUACGGAGCACUACUCUUUCAAUUUGUUUCAUAUAUAGAAAAUGAUUUAGAAGAAAAAAAAUGCUUUUGACGUUUGUGAUUUUUUUUACUAAGUAUUUAAUAAGUGAAGGUUUUGGUAGUACGGAGAAGGGCACUUUUGAUAUUUUCAUUUUUGGUUACAAGCCGAGGUUUUAUCUCUUGAGGACACGUAAUGUGACAGCUGGUUUCAACAUUCGUUCCACUUUCUAGCAAAAAAGGAACUUUCAUUCCACUUGGACAAACUCUCUCUGUCGAACAACAAUGGGGGCUAACUUGAAGGAUUUCUCCGAUGUUCUGGUUCUUUCCAUCGAUUGAAGCUCUGUAAUGCCAUGUUUUUCUAUUUUUAUCUCUCUCUAAAUUUAUUAUUUUCUUUUUUCACUCUCUAUCUGGAAGUUAAUUUUCAAUUGUAAGCACUUGCUAGUUAGUACUUUGUUCCUUCUGUUUCAAAAUAAAAUUUAGCAAAAUUUAAAUUUUUAUCUCUCUCUAAAUUAAUACUUUGUUCCUUCUGUUCUCUAAAUUAAUACUAAGCAUAUUCUCAGUCACAGUCUCCACUCUCCACUUUUUUUUCGACUGUCUCUACGAAGACAUUUAAAUAGCGAGCCAAUUUUGCCUUCCAGUAAGGUGUGGUGAGGUCAGUUCAAUUUUCAUUGGUUUUGUUGUUUUGGGGUGUCUUUUUAUUUAUUUUCUGUUUUUUUUUUUUUUUUUUAAAUGUUUCUUUUAAUUCUUGUUGCUCUGCUUGGGUUUAAUCCUGUUGCAUGCAUUGGCUUUUGGGGUUUAAUCUUGAUGCAUGUAUUGAUUUUUGGGUUUUUAACUUUUGUUCUUUUUUAGUUGUUUGCAUCAAAUAAAUUACAGAGAACAUAAAUAGAAGACAAGUCAGGCUCUCGAAGAGGUUUAAUAGAUUUGUUCGAAGAAACUCGAGGUGCUUUCCGGUCCUACUCAAUGCAAAAGUCGCAGUUGUAGUUUUAUGUUGUAUAAAUGUGCAAAGAUAUGGAAUCACCGACCCAGCCUGCGGUUUAUGCAACAUCGAGUAAUAUUAUGUCAUAUGGUCAUUCAGAUGCAUGGUCUACAAAAUAAGUGAACUGCGGAAAAUUCAUAUUAAGAGUCUAUCAAAGGAGUAGUGGAAUAUCCUAUUGGUUUCAGCCACAUUGAUAGGUUAUUCAUGAAGAAAUGGCUGCAUGAAGACAAGGCCAAUUGACAUUUUCAAGAAAAGAAUAUUGGAAACUUUAAACAGAAAAUUACUUAGGUAUUUUCUUCUAUUACUAUUACUUUUUAGUUUGAUUUGGGGAUUAUGUUCAAUAAGUAUCUUUGUGUGCCUCAUCAGUCUUUGGUCAUUUCCAUCCGUCGGAGCAAUCUUCUCUAUGAUUGAUUAUAUUAGCACCUUGCAAGUAUAACAUGUGCACCAUAGCCUGUAGAUAGCAGACAUUUUACCUUAUCUUACUCUUUAGUAACAACAACAACAACAAGCCCAGUAUAAUCCCACCAUGUGGGGUCUGAGGAGGGUAGAGUGUACGCAGACUUAACCCCCACAUUACAUUACUCUUUAGUAAUGUAGGUAUAUUAUUUAUGUGCUAGCUUCUAUCUCCUAACUGCUCAUUGGAGGACCUUAGAUAGCCUUAAGAGGUGAAUAUAUAACAAAGAUGGACAGUCAAGUGAGAAAUGUUUUAGGAUAGAACUUUCAAGUGAUGCGGUAGUUGAAUCUUUCAUUUUGUUUUAACUUACCCCAAUAAUAUUUGUCUUGUACGGUAAAGUUGCCAUGUUUACUAUGAGUCAAAUAAAAUGUUCAUUUACAAAUACUCCUAGUGACUCUCUGUUUUUUCUAAAAUAGCGAGUUUAAAAGAUUUGUUUUUUUUACCCCCUGAGAGCAGGCUUGCCUUUUGAUUUUUAGUCAUUAAAGGAUGCUUGAGUCCAUAAGGUAGGUGUCAUUCGGAUGUCUUGGAAAUGAACAUUUUAUUUGACUCAUAGUAAACAUGGCAACUUUACCGUACAAGACAAAUAUUAUUGGGGUAAGUUAAAACAAAAUGAAAGAUUCAACUACCGCAUCACUUGAAAGUUCUAUCCUAAAACAUUUCUCACUUGACUGUCCAUCCUUGUAAUUUAUAUUUUGCAGGUUACUCGCAGCAGGAAAAAAGUUUAAAUGUCGGUCACAUGCAUUUGAAGCGGAAAAUUGAUUUAGAUGGAUGAAAAUGGCUUGCAUUGGCUAGUAGAUAUUAUUAGUUUGAUAACUCUCCGGUUUGUGUAAUUGUAACUAAAGUGAUAGAAUAUAAGUACCUUUUGUCUAUAUUAUUGCAAUUCAUAACAGAGUUACUUUAUCUAAUUUAUUCAUUAGUGUUCAA